rnacentral:rRNA from 1 species
CAGUAGCCGCGGUAAUACGGAGGGAGCUAGCGUUGUUCGGAAUUACUGGGCGUAAAGCGCACGUAGGCGGCUUUACAAGUCAGAGGUGAAAGCCUGGUGCUCAACACCAGAAUUGCCUUUGAGACUGUAUCGCUUGAACGUCGGAGAGGUGAGUGGAAUUCCGAGCGUAGAGGUGAAAUUCGUAGAUAUUCGGAAGAACACCAGUGGCGAAGGCGGCUCACUGGACGACUGUUGACGCUGAGGUGCGAAAGCGUGGGGAGCAAACAGGAUUAGAUACCCGAGUAGUCCCUGUCUCUUAUAU